GAUGAACGCUAGCGGCAGGCCUAAUACAUGCAAGUCGAGGGGCAGCGCGGUAGCAAUACUGGCGGCGACCGGCGCACGGGUGCGUAACACGUAUGCAACCUACCUUCAACUGGAGGAUAGCCCGGGGAAACUCGGAUUAAUACUCCAUAACACAGGGAUCCCGCAUGGGAAUAUUGUUAAAGCUACGGCGGUUGAAGAUGGGCAUGCGUUCGAUUAGCUAGUUGGUGUAGGUAACGGCUCACCAAGGCUACGAUCGAUAGGGGGUCUGAGAGGAUGAUCCCCCCACACUGGUAACUGAGAUACGACCAGACUCUACGGGAGCAGCAGUAGGGAAUAUUGGUCAAUGGGCGCAAGCCUGAACCAGCUAUGCCGCGUGCGAGGAGAAGGCCCC
rnacentral:rRNA from 1 species